AUCCAGAUUGCAUGAAAGGAAAUUGGCAUUUCAAGGCGGCUCUUUCUUAUAUACCAAUCUUGACUCAAAGAUGGGAGCCCUUGGUGCCAAGCGUGAAUGAAGAGAGAGGGAAUGGGAAACAAUUAUGCAGAGAGAUUAUCGAAGGAUAUGCGCAGCAGUGAGAUAUUAGGCCGGAGGCCUUCAAGGGGGUAAGAGGAAGCCCCCAGCUUAAGCUGCUCAGGGACAUGUGUCCCUCCCCAGUUAGACUUGAGGUUGCUGGAGGGGGACGGAGCGGAUGCGCAUCCUAAUCUGCGGCCACAGCAUGAUUUUCUGGGCGGGCCGCAGGGCCGCGUCGUCUCGAAUGGACUUGCAGCUGGGGCUCAGUCAACGAGCUACUGUACAAUGGCUUGGCCGGCAAGGGAUGUGCUGGGAUGGGCUCCUACCCACCCUGUUCCGGCAAGGGUUAGUGCGUGACGUUCCGCACAUUUUGGUCAUUCACCUGGGAGGUAAUGACCUGGGUUUACUGAAGGGCAGGGCCCUUACUAUUCAAGCAUGUAGCGACAUGCGCGUUAUAAGGCAGCGUUGGCCUUCAGUUUGUCUGCUUUGGUCAGACAUACUGCCAUGCAGGGAAUGGCAUGGAGUUUGGGACCCCAGGAGGAUAGACUGGGCAUGUAAGAGGGUCAACCGACAGAUUCGGUUGGCGCUUCUUGGGGAUGGUGGGUUGCCCAUUCCGCAUCCGCUUAUACAGCAUUCUAGGGUUGAACUCUAUAGGGCCGAUGGCGUUCACCUGUCAGACACAGGGAACAACACCUUUUUGCAAGACCUGCAGAGGAGUCUGCUGGAAGUUCUUCUACGCAGUAGGGAAAAGGGGACUAAAUAGAGAUUUGUCCCCUUUUUGUGGCGGAAAAGUGCAGGAGGGGAAAUAGGUAAUGACAGCUAGAUGGCCCCCUUAGGCACCUUUCAAGGUGAUUGGUGGUUCCGGAGGCCUGUCUCUCAGGGUUAUACGGCCCGAGGGCAGGAUAUGGACUGCUUUUGGGGCCAACUUACCUCAUCCACCUGAGGGUUCUAUGGCCCCGGGGGGUGGUGACGUGGGAAGGCCUCCCUACUCACCUACAAGGUGUGGCCAGGGCAAGGGGUAAGCAAAAGGGGGCUUGCCAUUUGCCCCAGCAGGGGCUGGUCACCCGAGAGCUGUAGGUCAAGCUGCUUGCCUAUAGUUAGUUCCCGCACUUAGGUUUCACCUCUGCAGGUCGCUUUAAACGUUCUUGUUUAUAAUUUAAUAAAGUGGCCCUUUAUUCAACCAUAGCUGCUGUUGUCUGCAUAUUAUUUCACCCAUCGACCGCAAAUGCAGCUUCGCUUACCUGCGCGAAGCUCUGGGGAGCGGUAGCACAGUUGCGGCCGAGGGUGAAGUCGCAGUACCAAUUUUGAAGAAGGGAACGUCGCGCGUCGCAUUGGGAUGACGUGCGACGUUCCUCACGGAGGGGGCGGAGCUACGGGCCUAUUUAAGCCCGCUCAGCCCCCUCCGACUUCCUCUUGGCUCGCGACGCCCGUCCCGCCCUCCCUCUUUUACAGUGUGACCAUGGUCGCUUUGGGGCUGAGUAGGAAUUUUUAUCCUGCCCACCCUUGUUGGCGGGCAGGUUUUUUGCCUGCUUCACACUUUGGGAGAUGGAGGGAACUGGGUUAGAGGGUGUCGUGAUUAAUAGGUUGUGUUUUGGCUAAUUUGGCUAAUUUGGUUCAAAUCAAAUUAUUAACGUGGACAUAUUUUGGACAUGGAUUCGGUAAAGUGCGGGAGGGGAAAUAGGUAAUGACAGCUAGGUGGCCCCCUUAGGCACCUUUCAAGGUGAUUGGUGGUUCCGGAGGCCUGUCUCUCAGGGUUAUACGGCCCGAGAGCAGGAUAUGGACUGCUUUGGGGGCCAACUUACCUCAUCCACCUGAGGGUUCUACGGCCCCAGGGGGUGGUGACGUGGGAAGGCCUCCCUACUCACCUACAAGGUGUGGUCGGGGCAAGGGGUAAGCAAAAGGGGGCUUGCCAUUUGCCCCAGCAGGGGCUGGUCGCCCGAGAGCUGUAGGGCAAGCUGCUUGCCUAUAGUUAGUUCCCGCACUUAGGUUUCACCUCUGCAGGUCGCUUUAAACGUUCUUGUUUAUAAUUUAAUAAAGUGGCCCUUU